GAUGAACGCUGGCUACAGGCUUAACACAUGCAAGUCGAGGGGAAACGGCAUUUGGUGCUUGCACCGAAUGGACGUCGACCGGCGCACGGGUGAGUAACGCGUAUCCAACCUUCCCGUUACUGCGGGAUAACCUGCCGAAAGGCAGACUAAUACCGCAUGUUCUUCGAUGACGGCAUCAGAUUCGAAGCAAAGAUCCGUCGGUAACGGAGGGGGAUGCGUCUGAUUAGCUAGUUGGCGGGGCGACGGCCCACCAAGGCGACGAUCAGUAGGGGUUCUGAGAGGAAGGUCCCCCACAUUGGAACUGAGACAUGGUCCAAACUCCUACGGGAGGCAGCAGUGAGGAAUAUUGGUCAAUGGGCGGAAGCCUGAACCAGCCAAGUAGCGUGCAGGAUGACGGCCCUACGGGUUGUAAACUGCUUUUAUGCGGGGAUAAAGUGAGGGACGCGUCCCUUUUUGCAGGUAC
rnacentral:rRNA from 1 species